GGGGGCGUAGCUCAGACGGUAGAGCGCUCGCUUAGCAUGCGAGAGGGGUACCAGGAUCGAUGCCUGGCGCCUCCA